AAAAAUACACCACAGCAAUAUAAGCCCUGCCCGCAAGGACAGGGGCAACAAAUCACUCUUAUGGUGUAAAAGAUGAAUCACAAUAGCGAUACAAAAUACUGGUCAUGGCUGGGCGUCCUGUCGUUCUCUGUGCUCUUUUGGGCGCAACUGGCCUGGAUGUUAACUCACUAAUCUUCUAAGACCCGGCUUCGGCCGGGUUUUUGUUG
rnacentral:sRNA from 1 species